UACGAAGGGGGCUAGCGUUGCUCGGAAUCACUGGGCGUAAAGCGCACGUAGGCGGAUUGUUAAGUCAGGGGUGAAAUCCUGGAGCUCAACUCCAGAACUGCCUUUGAUACUGACGGUCUUGAGUCCGGGAGAGGUGAGUGGAACUGCGAGUGUAGAGGUGAAAUUCGUAGAUAUUCGCAAGAACACCAGUGGCGAAGGCGGCUCACUGGCCCGAUACUGACGCUGAGGCACGAAAGCGUGGGGAGCAACAGGG
rnacentral:rRNA from 1 species